rnacentral:rRNA from 1 species
GAUGAACGCUGGCGGCGUGCCUAAUACAUGCCAGUCGAGCGAACGGACGAGAAGCUUGCUUUUCUGAUGUUAGCGGCGGACGGGUGAGUAACACGUGGAUAACCUACCUAUAAGACUGGGAUAACUUCGGGAAACCGGAGCUAAUACCGGAUAAUAUUUUGAACCGCAUGGUUCAAAAGUGAAAGACGGUCUUGCUGUCACUUAUAGAUGGAUCCGCGCUGCAUUAGCUAGUUGGUAAGGUAACGGCUUACCAAGGCAACGAUGCAUAGCCGACCUGAGAGGGUGACCGGCCACACUGGAACUGAGACACGGUCCAGACUCCUACGGGAGGCAGCAGUAGGGAAUCUUCCGCAAUGGGCGAAAGCCUGACGGAGCAACGCCGCGUGAGUGAUGAAGGUCUUCGGAUCGUAAAACUCUGUUAUUAGGGAAGAACAUAUGUGUAAGUAACUGUGCACAUCUUGACGGUACCUAAUCAGAAAGCCACGGCUAACUACGUG